UUGCGCCUGCGAAGGAGUCAGCGCGUCCGUUUUCAUGGCAUUGCAGGCGGCCGGACGGCGUACCCUCCCGUAUCUGGGCAAUGUGCCCAGUCAAACUGGUCCC
rnacentral:sRNA from 12 species